GACGAACCGUGCGAACGUUGUUCGGAAUCACUGGGCUUAAAGGGCGCGUAGGUGGUUUGCCAAGUCGGGGUUGAAAUCUUUCGGCUUAACCGGAAAAGUGGCUUCGAUACUGGCAAGCUGGAGGGAGGUAGGGGCGGGAUGGAACUUCCGGUGGAGCGGUGAAAGUGUGGUUGAUAUCGGAAGGAACGCCGGUGGCGAAAGCGAUCCGCUGGACCUCUUCUGACACUGAGGCGCGAAAGCCAGGGGAGCGAACGGG
rnacentral:rRNA from 1 species